rnacentral:rRNA from 2 species
AGAGUUUGAUCCUGGCUCAGAACGUACGCUGGCGGCACGCCUAACACAUGCAAGUCGAACGAAGUAGCAAUACUUAGUGGCAGACGGGUGAGUAACAUGUAGGUAUCUGCCCUUUGGCCUGGAAUAACACGAGGAAACUUGUGCUAAUACCGGAUAAGUCUUUACGGAGAAAGCUUUAUGCACCAUUGGAUGAGCCUGCACUUGAUUAGUUUGUUGGUGGGGUAAUGGCCUACCAAGACUGUGAUCAAUAGCUGAUUUGAGAGGAUGAUCAGCCACAUUGGGACUGAGACACGGCCCAAACUCCUACGGGAGGCAGCAGUGGGGAAUCUUGCACAAUGGAGGAAACUCUGAUGCAGCGAUGCCGCGUGAGUGAAGAAGGCCUUUGGGUUGUAAAGCUCUUUCGUCGGGGAAGAAAAUGACUGUACCCGAAUAAGAAGGUCCGGCUAACUUCGUGCCAGCAGCCGCGGUAAUACGAAGGGACCUAGCGUAGUUCGGAAUUACUGGGCUUAAAGAGUUCGUAGGUGGUUGAAAAAGUUAGUGGUGAAAUCCCAGAGCUUAACUCUGGAACUGCCAUUAAAACUUUUCAGAUAGAGUAUGAUAGAGGAAAGCAGAAUUUCUAGUGUAGAGGUGAAAUUCGUAGAUAUUAGAAAGAAUACCAAUUGCGAAGGCAGCUUUCUGGAUCAUUACUGACACUGAGGAACGAAAGCAUGGGUAGCGAAGAGGAUUAGAUACCCUCGUAGUCCAUGCCGUAAACGAUGUGUGUUAGACGUUGGAAAUUUAUUUUCAGUGUCGCAGGGAAACCGAUAAACACACCGCCUGGGGAGUACGACCGCAAGGUUAAAACUCAAAUGAAUUGACGGGGACCCGCACAAGUAGUGGAGCAUGUGGUUUAAUUCGAAGAUACGCGCAGAACCUUACCAACACUUGACAUGUUCGUCGCGACUCUAAGAGAUUAGAGUUUUCGGUUCGGCCGGACGAAACACAGGUGCUGCAUGGCUGUCGUCAGCUCGUGUCGUGAGAUGUUGGGUUAAGUCCCGCAACGAGCGCAACCCUCACUUUUAGUUGCCAUCAUUAAGUUGGGCACUCUGAAAGAACUGCCAGUGAUAAGCUGGAGGAAGGUGGGGAUGACGUCAAGUCCUCAUGGCCCUUACGUGUUGGGCUACACACGUGCUACAAUGGUAUCUACAACAGGAAGCAAGACUGCGAAGUUAAGCAAAUCCCUAAAAGAUACCUCAGUUCGGAUUGCACUCUGCAACUCGAGUGCAUGAAGCUGGAAUUACUAGUAAUCGUGGAUCAGCGUGCCACGGUGAAUGCGUUCCCGGGUCUUGUACACACCGCCCGUCACACCAUGGGAGUUGGUUCUACCUUAAGGCAAGGUUUUAAACCCUUGACCACGGUAUAGUCAGCGACUGGGGUGAAGUCGUAACAAGGUAACC